GUGUUUCCGAAAUGCUCUCCCUGGCAAAAAGACUGAAGACGUUGCCUUGGUGCGUGGAGUCCGCCGGCAACCAACUCCAGCGAGUGCGGAAGGAGGCGCGGUCGCCUAGGCGGCGGUCGAGGUCUCCGGCGCUGGCGAUAAGGAAGGCGGAGGAGAAGUCGGAGUGGUGAAUUGUAAGUAGUUGACGGCGAAAUGCACGAGAUCGGCGACCACGUGCCGCCACGUGAGCGGUUAGUGAUUUCGAGAGAUAACAUCCCCAACAAGCGUCGGAAGCAGCUCCGGGAACAUUUCAUGCGCCGCACUCGCCUCGUUCUCAAAGAAAUGGAGCAUGAGCCUUGGUGCAAAAAGUAUAUGGAGCUGUACCAGGAGCUUAGAGAGAAUUGGGAAAGGCUGUACUGGGAUCAUGCGAAUUACGAGUAAGCUGAAGAUGAUGAUCAGGAUUUCUCUUUGUACCGGAGCAAGCAAUCCCAUUUCGAGCAAUUUCAGGUUCGAUCUGUUACACUGAUAUAGUUAAAGUUAUACCUGAUGAUAUUUAUAACUCUGCAUUAUCCCACAUUUCACAAUGUUUUUUUUUUUUUUUUUACCUACAAAAUUAUAUUCUAUAACCACACCUAACAUCUUCUUGUAUAAUCUUCAAUGGAAUAUAAUGUUAAAUUAAGUAGAAGCAAUUUUAGUUCAUUUGAUUAGUCACCUGGUUGCUUAUUAGCUCCUGCAUUUCAAUAGUAUGUAAUGGAAGGGAAUAAUCAAGUUACAAGUGAUGCUGAAGUACACAUUUCGAUAGCUCAAAUAUAUGUUUUUAUACACGUGCAUGUGGCAUGUUUUUCUAUAUGUCAGAGAUAUUCUGGGUGUGAGGUUUGAGUGGCCACCUGGAGGAAACCCAAGAAAUUCACUUUUUUUGGGGGUGGUGGGGAAGUUGGAGAUUAGAAAGGAUGGAGGGGAGGAACAGGGUAUCAAGAGGGGGAUGUUGACUCGUAGUUAAUCAGUUUUUCCAUGCUACCCAAAACUUAUUAACUAAGAGUCAACAUUCCCCUUAGUUAGGUUACUAUCUUUCACUAAUUCAAAUAUUUGACACUGGCUGAUAGGACUGAAAGUGCAAUCAGAAGUUUUCUCUGGGAAGACGGUAAGAAAGGGAAAAAAGAUUUGUUGGUUAAGUGGGAGGGUUUUGAAAAUUUUAAUGUGAGAGAUUUGGUAUGCUGUCAUUAAUUGAAAUUAUGGGUUUGCAAGAGAAGGGUGGGAUCGAUUCUUGCAUUUUGACAAGAGGUUCAAGUCGUUGUCCUUGGAAGGAUAUCUUUCAAGGCGUAAAUAUUUUUUUUAUUCCCUUUGUCAAUUCUGGGUGAGAGUGGGAAAAGAGCGAGUCUCCGUGUAGAUCGUUGGGUGGGGAAAACAGAAGAUUUUCCUCCAUUAUACAGACUCAUUUUUAGAAUGCUCCUAUUGUAAGAUUGUGUGCUAGUUCUGUUUCUCAUCUUUUGUCUUGGGUUUUGAGUUUUGGAGGAAUCUUAAUGUUCAGGAGUUGGGGGAAUAAACAUAUUUGUUGGCAUGUUUAGAAAUAUUAUUCUGCUUCUAUCAAGAUCGGAUAGGAGAGUAUGCAAGCUGGAGUCAUCAGGAUUCUUCUUAGAUAUGGACCUUUCUUGUCUUUUUCUGGACCUCGUUUAGGCUAAGGUACCCGGAAAGGUGCGAGCGCUAUUCUGGAGUAUUGCUGGUGGUAGAUUGAUUACUUGUGAUAUGGUUCAGAAGUUCUUGGUGUGUUUCACCUAAUUUCUGUGAGAUGUACAGAAAUGAUCCAGAAAGUUUGAAUCAUUUGCUGUCUCGCUGUCCCAUAGCUUUGACUUUGCUUGGAAAGGUUUUUUUGGGAGGCUAUUAUGAGUGCGGAUAUUCACUAUCAUGUUAUGCUCUAUUGUCGUCUAAGCACUUUAAGUACUUUGGGGAAGAACGAUGGGUAAGAUGCAUGGCAUCUUGCUGCAGCUGUAGUUGUUAGCACCUGCAAUAAGCUUCUCGAGUAGUUAAUUAUCAAUGACUCAAUGUAUUAAGUCAUGUAUUUUAUAUUCAAUCAUUUGUAACCGAAAAAACUUUAGAAACAAAGAAGAAGAAAAAAAUCAUCUAUAGCGCUG